GACGAACGCUGGCGGCGUGCCUAAUACAUGCAAGUCGAACGCAGUGGGGACGGGUGAGUAACACGUGGGUAACCUCCCAUCAGAGGGGAUAAAACUUGGAAACAGGUGCUAAACCGAAACUGAUGGAUGGUCCCGCGGUGCAUUAGCUAGUUGGUGGGGUAACGGCUCACCAAGGCCACGAUGCAUAGCCGGCCUGAGAGGAUGAUCGGCCACACUGGGACGGAGACACGGCCCAGACUCCUACGGGAGGCAGCAGUGGGGAAUCUUCGGCAAUGGACGAAAGUCUGACCGAGCCAUGCCGCGUGUAUGAAGAAGGCCUUAGGGUUGUAAAGUACUUUCAGCGGGGAGGCGUUACCCGCAGAAGAAGCACCGGCUAACUCCGUGCCAGCAGCCGCGGUAAUUC
rnacentral:rRNA from 1 species